rnacentral:tRNA from 1 species
GCCGGCGUGGCGCAACUGGUAGCGCACCCGACUUGUAAUCGGGCGGUUGGGGGUUCGAGUCCCCCCGUCGGCUCAA